CAACUCUACUGCAAUAAAAUACAUUCUAAAAAGAGCAGGAGGCUGGGAAGGUGGAGGCAAGUUAUCACAACAGCUCUGCCUAGCCGUUCUCAACCUAUCAGAACCACAGGCCCUUCCCAGGACAGGCAUUUUGUAUGACACAACUUACCCACACGUAUCAGGUCAGCACAAUGCCCCAACUCAUGUACGAAGGCAACAGAGGGAAAGCAAUUCACAAUGAAAAAGCACGCAUUUCAAUCUCUGGCCGCUUGGCCAGAGAUUUUUUUUUUUUUUUUUGACAACGACCUACACUUAUCUAUUCCAUAGCGUCGCCGAUACGCAAAAUACAAAGCAGGUUCUGGUGUCUGGA